AUUCUUGACUUCAGCAGCACACAUACUAUCACAGAGUAAGACAGAGCAUUAGCAUGGACCCUGUUCAAGGCUGACACACAAACUCAUGAAGCAGUCCAGAUUUAA
rnacentral:snRNA from 1 species